GUUUUAAAAGGACAGAAGGCUAACACUCCCUUUGUCAAGAAUGAAAGAGCAACAUUCACAUGGUUUAGGCACUACUACCUAUACUUCAGUGCAGCAGUGAGGUUAU
ensembl:snRNA